AUGCUGAUCAAGCUUAAGGCGGUGUACACCCUAGUGGAGCAGCUGUACUCCGGGUCACAACGUGCUUUGGCCGUUGUAGCCUUAUCCAAUACUACUCCUCGCCUUCUACAAGAUGUGCUAAGGCAUCUCUCAGUACUACCCCAACGAAUUAAGGAUCUAAGGCGGGCAUCUGUGAGAGCUAGAGCUGUGGCCGCAUUAAGCCGGGCAAGAGCAUGGGUGCCAGAACUUGACCUUGCUGAUCUCUCUCUCGGAUAUCCAAGCCUUAAAGAGGACGACACUGCUUUUGACGACCAAGACUUCACUGCUUGUGUUAAAGUCGUACGCCCCCUGGCGACUCUCAUUGGGAAUGAUACUGAUCUUACCAAGUAUUCGUCGGGCUAUGAUAGUGAAAACCGGAGAAUCCCAAAUGCCCCAUAUGACCAAGUCAGCCUGAUCCCUCCAACGCGUAAGCAUACCUUUGUCCCUGAAGUGGACCCAGCCAGUUUAAUAGAUGAUGAAGCUGAAUUUAAGGCCUUGAGCGGCAUUGACUGGACCUCGUCCACCUUCCAGGACAAAACAACCGAAGGAGAGGCAGGGAAGGAUAACCCGGAGUCGUCAAGCCAGCCGGGGGAAUGA
rnacentral:rRNA from 1 species